rnacentral:misc_RNA from 1 species
UACCAUGAUUCAAACUUUCCCACAUUCGCAGUUUCCACUUGAGUCCCACCUAGAAGCCUAUUUCGGGACAGAUGAGGGAGCAAUACUUCCUUGGAUGUAUGA